rnacentral:rRNA from 1 species
UACGAAGGGUGCAAGCGUUACUCGGAAUUACUGGGCGUAAAGCGUGCGCAGGCGGUUGUGUAAGACAGAUGUGAAAUCCCCGGGCUCAACCUGGGAACUGCAUUUGUGACUGCACGGCUCGAGUGCGGCAGAGGGGGAUGGAAUUCCGCGUGUAGCAGUGAAAUGCGUAGAUAUGCGGAGGAACACCGAUGGCGAAGGCAAUCCCCUGGGCCUGCACUGACGCUCAUGCACGAAAGCGUGGGGAGCAAACAGG